GGAGGGCUGGCUGAGCGGCCGAAAGCGACGGUCUUGAAAACCGUUAGGGUGAUGAACUCAUCCUCAAGGGUUCGAAUCCCUUGCCCUCCG
rnacentral:tRNA from 2 species